rnacentral:rRNA from 1 species
GUGCCAGCAGCCGCGGUAAGACAGAGGAGCCAAGCGUUGUCCGGAUUGACUGGGCGUAAAGCGUCCGCAGGCGGCUGGGCACGUGGGGUGUGAAACCGCUCGGCUUAACCGAGCGCCGCCACCUCAUACGGCCCGGCUCGAGCGCGGGAGAGGUCUGUGGAAUUGCCGGUGUAGUGGUGAAAUGCGUAGAGAUCGGCAGGAACACCAAGGGCGAAAGCAGCAGACUGGCCCGUGGCUGACGCUCAGGGACGAAAGCGUGGGGAGCGAACUGGAUUAGAUACCCGAGUAGUCC